rnacentral:rRNA from 1 species
GCCGAAAGGCGUAGUGGAUGGAAAGCAGGCGAAAGAUUCCUGCACCCGUAUAUGGAGCGAAGGAGUGACGGAGACGGAUAGUGUGACCCUCUUAAUGGAUUGAGGGCGAAGCGAAGCGGCUGGUUACCAGGCAAAUCCGGUAACCAUAAGGCUAGAUCGUGACAGGUAAGCGAAAUCUUAGGAAAGUAGCGAAGCACAUGAUGACGGCUUCCAGGAAAAGCUUCUGGCAAUGCAUAUGCGGCCCGUACCAAAACCGACACAGGUGGGCAGGGAGAGAAUCCCGAGGUGAGCGAGAGAACUGUUGCCAAGGAACUCGGCAAAAUGACUCCGUAAGUUAGCGAGAAGGAGUGCUUAAGCAAUUAAGCCGCAGUGAAGAGGCCCAAGCGACUGUUUAACUAAAACACAGCUCUCUGCGAAGUCGCAAGACGAAGUAUAGGGGGUGACACCUGCCCGGUGCUGGAAGGUUAAGAGGAUCUGUUAAGAGCGAUCUGAAGCAGUGAUCCGAAGCCCCAGUGAACGGCGGCCGUACGAUAACGGUCCUAAGGUAGCGAAAUUCCUUGUCAGGUAAGAUCUGACCCGCACAAAAGGUGUAACGAUUUGGGCGCUGUCUCGGCAGCAGACUCGGUGAAAUCUUAGUACCUGUGAAAAUGCAGGUUACCCGCAACUAGACGGAAAGACCCCAUGGAGCUUUACUGCAGCCUGAUAUUGAAUUCUGGUCAUACAUGUACAGGAUAGGUGGGAGACAAAGAGACGUGCACGCCAGUGUACGAGGAGUCGACGUUGGGAUACCACUCUUGUGUGACCGGGGUUCUAACCUGGUAUCGAGAACAGGUACGGGGAGAGUGUCAGGUGGGCAGUUUGACUGGGGCGGUCGCCUCCCAAAGAGUAACGGAGGCGCCCAAAGGUACGCUCAGAUUGGAUGGAAACCAAUCGUCGAGUGCAAUUGCAGAAGCGUGCUUGACUGUGAGACAGACAAGUCGAACAGGGACGAAAGUCGGGAAUAGUGAUCCGGCGGUGCCGAAUGGAAGGGCCGUCGCUCAACGGAUAAAAGCUACCCUGGGGAUAACAGGCUGAUCUCGCCCAAGAGUUCACAUCGACGGCGAGGUUUGGCACCUCGAUGUCGGCUCAUCGCAUCCUGGAGCUGGAUUCGGUUCCAAGGGUUGGGCUGUCCGCCCAUUAAAGCGGUACGCGAGCUGGGUUCAGAACGUCGUGAGACAGUUCGGUCCCUAUCUGUUGUGGGCGAAGGAGAUCUGCGGAGAGCUGUCCUCAGUACGAGAGGACCGGGAUGGACCUACCGCUGGUGCACCGGUUGUUCCGCCAGGGGCAUAGCCGGGUAGCUAAGUGGGGAAAGGAUAAGCGCUGAAAGCAUCUAAGCACGAAGCCUACUCCAAGAUGAGAUCUCCCAUUCGC